CGCCUCCCCCAUGUUUCCCUUCUUGACAUCCCAUUUCCUUUCCUACCCCUAAUUCGAUUGUACCCUCCUGACUUAGGAAAUGGGGCGGAGAGUGUUCUGUUUGGUGACCACUAAUCACAGGUCAUUUCCACGGCUUUCCUACAAGGACCCCUAAGAGGCUCUCUGCUGGGGACCUGUACGGACUCACCUCUCCCAGCCCACGCUCUGUCCCCCGCAGCGGCUCCAACGUGUCCGGUCACAUCCCGACAGCAAUGAGGUGGGCCUGCCCGAGGCCUCCUUGUAGGGGGACCCGAGCAGCCUGCCGGGAAGGACAACCUAGUAGACCAUUGGGACUGAGCACUGUAUUAUCUGAGGAACUUCCCAGGGGCUAAGAGCCAUCCUACCAGCGCUUGUGAGAUCAGUGAGAAGCCGCUUCCUGAGUGUUCACACCCACCAAGUGAGCGGGUCCUCCAAGCUCUCCUUCUCCGUGCCUGCCGUGUCCCUCCGCAGUCCGCGAGCACCUGUCGCAGAGGGCGAGGAGGAAGACAAUGCGCGUCUGCAUCCUGACGAUGGGAAGCCGCCCCGUACCCGUCCUCGAUUCCACAGGCCACACUUGCUGCUCCUGCUGUGACCUGGUCGAGUGCUGGGCUCUGACACUCGUCUCUCCUCUUGGGCCGACGCCGGUCCUCAUCACACCUCCGAGGAGUCACUGAGCAACACUCUGCUUUCAGUAAAAGACCAAGCUUAACG
rnacentral:lncRNA from 1 species